rnacentral:rRNA from 1 species
UGGCGGCAGGCUUAACACAUGCAAGUCGAACGCCCCGCAAGGGGAGUGGCAGACGGGUGAGUAACGCGUGGGAAUCUACCCAUCUCUGCGGAAUAGCUCUGGGAAACUGGAAUUAAUACCGCAUACGCCCUACGGGGGAAAGAUUUAUCGGGGAUGGAUGAGCCCGCGUUGGAUUAGCUAGUUGGUGGGGUAAAGGCCUACCAAGGCGACGAUCCAUAGCUGGUCUGAGAGGAUGAUCAGCCACAUUGGGACUGAGACACGGCCCAAACUCCUACGGGAGGCAGCAGUGGGGAAUAUUGGACAAUGGGCGCAAGCCUGAUCCAGCCAUGCCGCGUGAGUGAUGAAGGCCUUAGGGUUGUAAAGCUCUUUCACCGGUGAAGAUAAUGACGGUCACCGGAGAAGAAGCCCCGGCUAACUUCGUGCCAUCAGCCGCGGUAAUACGAAGGGGGCUAGCGUUGUUCGGAAUUACUGGGCGUAAAGCG